AUUGGACCGAGGUCAGUAGAAGAUGGAGAAGAAAGCAGCCUUGUGUUUCAUUACUACAAAUUCUACGAAAUGGUCGGAAAUCUGGGACUGAAAUUGGCAUCGAUCUGUUAUGGAAUGCAUUUGCCAAUAAACAGGUGGUGAGAGGUUUGCUCCAGGAGUGAACGCGUCUUCCGUCUUUAACAAUGUAAGGACAAUUUGGCAGUGACUCAACCGUGCACGAGAAGAUUGAAUACGUUCUCCAUCAAUGACGUCAGACUCGUGUUCCACAGCGGCUGCAUCCAUGUCAAGAUUACAUGUAGCAUGUCAGAGUUUGUCUGCUAGUAAAUUUACAGGGCUGAAACUUAAUAUGAAGUGUAACGUUUGCUUUGGAUUAAUUGCGAAUCGGCUGUAGUUAUUUUCAAACUAUCACAAAGUAGUGUUCAGGAAGAGUAGUGGUUUAUUUUUGUGUAGGUGUGGUAACAUUAACAACAAGCGCAUGUAGGACGACCGGUUUUCUUUUUGAUGGUAACAUAUUUGUGAGGGCAAAUCUGAAAUUUGGCAUUUCUCCGUGAACAAUUAUUUAUUUAAGAUUGAAUUAUAGUAUUUAUUUUGGUGAUGUUUACUUUUGGAAAGAAAGAAAACGUCCCAACCGUGUAAAAUGCACUUAUUGAAGUCUUUGGAAUUUAUAGUGUGUGUUCAGUUGAAUAAAAAAAGAACGAGAUGUGCAUCCACCAAAAAUUAAUAAAUUGCAAUAAUUUAAAUAAUUUUAUUUAGGAAUAUUAUUUUCAGAAGCGGUCUAUGUAGGAGUGACAUUCAUCAGAAACUUUUAUACCCUGAAUUUUCGACAAAGUCUUGACAAAGUCAAAUGAAUCAUUUC